AGCCCCGUAGUGAGCCACACAUCAAAUUGCAAAUUUGAAAGAGCCCCAUUUUUGG
rnacentral:tRNA from 1 species